rnacentral:rRNA from 1 species
UUCUGGCUCAGGAUGAACGCUGGCGGCGUGCCUAACACAUGCAAGUCGAGCGAUUCUCUUCGGAGAAGAGCGGCGGACGGGUGAGUAACGCGUGGGUAACCUGCCCUAUACACACGGAUAACGUACCGAAAGGUACGCUAAUACGAGAUAAUAUGCUUUAGUCGCAUGGCUGAAGUAUCAAAGCUCCGGCGGUAUAGGAUGGACCCGCGUCUGAUUAGCUAGUUGGUAAGGUAAUGGCUUACCAAGGCGACGAUCAGUAGCCGACCUGAGAGGGUGAUCGGCCACAUUGGAACUGAGACACGGUCCAAACUCCUACGGGAGGCAGCAGUGGGGAAUAUUGCACAAUGGGCGAAAGCCUGAUGCAAGCAACGCCGCGUGAGCGAUGAAGGCCUUCGGGUCGUAAAGCUCUGUCCUCAAGGAAGAUAAUGACGGUACUUGAGGAGGAAGCCCCGGCUAACUACGUGCCAGCCGCAGC